rnacentral:rRNA from 1 species
AUUGAACGCUGGCGGCAGGCCUAACACAUGCAAGUCGAACGAGCGGCGGACGGGUGAGUCAUGUAUGGGAAACUGCCCGAUGGAGGGGGAUAACUACUGGAAACGGUCGCUAAUACCGCAUCCCAUCGGAUGGGCCCAGAUGGGAUUAGCUGGUAGGUGGGGUAACGGCUCACCUAGGCGACGAUCCCUAGCUGGGAUGAGAGGAUGACCAUCCACACUGGGACUGAGACACGUCCCAGACGCCUACGUGAGGCAGCAGUGGGGAAUAUUGCACAAUGGGCGCAAGCCUGAUGAAGCCAUGCCGCGUGUAUGAAGAAGGCCUUCGGGUUGUAAAGUACUUUCAGCGAGGAGGCGUUACUCGCAGAAGAAGCACCGGCUAACGCCGUGCCAGCAGCCGCGGUAAUUA